UACAGAGGGGGCAAGCGUUAUUCGGAAUUAUUGGGCGUAAAGGGCGCGUAGGCGGCCUGGCAAGUGGAUGGUGAAAUCCCUCGGCUUAACCGAGGAACUGCCAUCCAGACUGCUUGGCUUGAGACCGGGAGAGGUGAGUGGAAUUCCCAGUGUAGCGGUGAAAUGCGUAGAUAUCAGGAGGAACACCAAUAGCGAAGGCAGCUCGCUGGGACGUUACUGACGCUGAGACGCGAAAGCGUGGGGAGCAAACAGG
rnacentral:rRNA from 1 species